AUUGAACGCUGGCGGCAGGCUUAACACAUGCAAGUCGAGCGGGGAAAGGUAGCUUGCUACCUAACCUAGCGGCGGACGGGUGAGUAAUGCUUAGGAAUCUGCCUAUUAGUGGGGGACAACAUCUCGAAAGGGCUGCUAAUACCGCAUACGUCCUACGGGUGAAAGCAGGGGACCUUCGGGCCUUGCGGUUAGGGAUGAGCCUAAGGCGGAUUUGCUAGUUGGUGGGGUAGAGGAGUACGAAGGCGACGAUGUGUAGCGGGUCUGAGAGGGUGAUCGGCCACAUUGGGCCUGAGAUACGGGCCGGACUGAUACGGGAGGAAGCAGUGGGGCAUUUUGCACAAUGGGCGGAAGUGUGAUGAAGCAACGCAGCGUGGGGGAUGACGGCCUUCGGGUUGUAAACCGAUUUCGCCUGUGAUGAAGCGUGAGUGACGGUAAUGGGUAAAGAAGCACCGGCUAACUACGUG
rnacentral:rRNA from 1 species